AUACGGAGGAUCCGAGCGUUAUCCGGAUUUAUUGGGUUUAAAGGGUGCGCAGGCGGCCAUUUAAGUCAGCGGUUAAAUCGUGGGGCUCAACCCCAUUCUGCCGUUGAUACUGGGUGGCUUGAUUGCGGUCGAGGUUGGCGGAAUUCGUUGUGUAGCGGUGAAAUGCAUAGAUAUGACGAAGAACACCGAUUGCGUAGGCAGCUGACCAGACCGCAAAUGACGCUCAUGCACGAAAGUGCGGGGAUCGAACAGGAUUAGAUACCCUGGUAGUCCGCACAGUAAACGAUGAUUACUUGUUUUCGGCGAUAUAAUGUCGGAGGCAAAGCGAAAGCGAUAAGUAUUCCACCUGGGGAGUACGCCGGCAACGGUGAAACUCAAAUGAAUUGACGGGG
rnacentral:rRNA from 1 species